rnacentral:lncRNA from 1 species
GGAAAUAGUCAUAACCCAGGCCAAAGCCUGAAAAACUCCCAAGAGCAUUGCUGGUCAGCUGCACAGCAAGACCAUGUUACUACUUGCAUGGCAAGUGCAGGUAAUUCAUUCUCAUGACAAUGUCAAGACAGAAGGGCUAAAAUGAAAACAGUAGUGAGUGAUGUGUCACUGCUUGACCUUUUUCACUGGGGAAAUGUGAAUAUAAGAGAAAGUAAUUUAAACAGAAGUAAAAUAGGGCUACCUUUACUUUGUGAAAAUCCCUGAAGCCCCUUGUCAUUCUUCUAGUACCACACAACUCUCAUUUGUGCCCUAGACCAAAGUUAUUUGGGAUGGCUAAACUAGGGCCAAAUUUUUUAAAAAACAAAACAAAACCUAGAAAACAGGAAAACAGUGAAGGAACCGUGGCCUCAAUAUUAC